GAUUAACGCUGGCGGCGUGCAUAACACAUUCAAGUCGAACGGUGAGGGGGCUUCGGCCCCUGAUCAGUGGCGGACGGGUGAGUAACGCGUGAGCAACCUGCCCUUGUGUGGGGGAUAACGUUUGGAAACGGACGCUAAUACCGCAUAACCCAAUAGUACGGCAUCGUACAGUUGGCAAAGAUUUAUUGCACAAGGAUGGGCUCGCGUCUGAUUAGGUAGUUGGUGGGGUAACGGCCUACCAAGCCCGCGAUCAGUAGCCGGACUGAGAGGUUGAACGGCCACAUUGGAACUGAGAUACGGUCCAGACUCCUACGGGAGGCAGCAGUGGGGAAUAUUGGGCAAUGGGGGAAACCCUGACCCAGCGACGCCGCGUGAGGGAAGAAGGUCUUCGGAUUGUAAACCUUAAACAACAGGGACGAAGAAAGUGACGGUACCUGUUAGGAAGCCACGGCUAACUACGUGCCAGCAGCCGCCGUAACAC
rnacentral:rRNA from 1 species